GGGGCUAUGGGGUAGCCUGGAAUAAUCCUUUCCGCUUUGGGAGCGGAUGACCCCGGUUCGAAUCAGCAGCCCUAUUAUAAAAAGGGGCGCUGGAGAAAGUCCGGGUAGCCCCA
rnacentral:tRNA from 1 species